AGUGAACGCUGGCGAUAGGCCUAACACAUGCAAGUCGAACGGCAGCACAGUAAGAGCUUGCUCUUACGGGUGGCGAGUGGCGGACGGGUGAGGAAUACAUCGGAAUCUACUUUUUCGUGGGGGAUAACGUAGGGAAACUUACGCUAAUACCGCAUACGACCUACGGGUGAAAGCAGGGGAUCUUCGGACCUUGCGCGAUUGAAUUAGCCGAUGUCGGAUUAGCUAGUUGGCGGGGUAAGGGCCCACCAAGGCGACGAUCCGUAGCUGGUCUGAGAGGAUGAUCAGCCACACUGGAACUGAGACACGGUCCAGACUCCUACGGGAGGCAGCAGUGGGGAAUAUUGGACAAAGGGCGCAAGCCUGAUCCAGCCAUACCGCGUGGGUGAAGAAGGCCUUCGGGUUGUAAAGCCCUUUUGUUGGGAAAGAAAAGCAGCAGGUUAAUACCCCGCUGUUCUGACGGUACCCAAAGAAUAAGCACCGGCUAACUUCGUG
rnacentral:rRNA from 1 species